rnacentral:lncRNA from 1 species
UGUGAGGACAGAGCCUUCCUGCUAUUGGGAGGAUGCAGCAACAAGGUGUCAUCUUGGAAGCAGGGAUCAGCCCUCACCAGAAAACCAAAUCUGCCACCACCUUGAACUUAGACUUCCCAGCCUUGAGAACUAACACUACAUUGGGAAGGAUUCAUCAUCAUGACCAGAUGUCACAUGGGUCUAUGAUGCCAAAAAAGGAAGAUCCCUGGAGAACAGUAGCUGCUCCUAUUUGGCCAUUCUGUGUUCCAUCUCCCUCUCUUCUCCCCCCAACAGAGGGAGAGCUCUUGUGUUCCAUCUUGACAUGAGGACAUGUGUGUGUUGGCAGGAGAGGGUCCUGUGAUGAUGUCUGGCUAUCCAGGAGCUACUAUGGCAAUAAGAUAUCUGGAGAUUUCUGGGGCAAGAGAUGGAGAGGAUAAACUGUAUUAUCCCAAUAGUUGAGUAGAUUUUUUUUCCCCGUACAAAUUUGACAUGUAGAAACAUUGUGAAUAAGAG